GACGAACGCUGGCGGCGUGCCUAAUACAUGCAAGUUGAGCGCUGAAGGUUGGUACUUGUACCAACUGGAUGAGCAGCGAACGGGUGAGUAACGCGUGGGGAAUCUGCCUUUGAGCGGGGGACAACAUUUGGAAACGAAUGCUAAUACCGCAUAAAAACUUUAAACACAAGUUUUAAGUUUGAAAGAUGCAAUUGCAUCACUCAAAGAUGAUCCCGCGUUGUAUUAGCUAGUUGGUGAGGUAAAGGCUCACCAAGGCGAUGAUACAUAGCCGACCUGAGAGGGUGAUCGGCCACAUUGGGACGGAGACACGGCCCAAACUCCUACGGGAGGCAGCAGGAGGGAAUCUUCGGCAAUGGACGAAAGUCUGACCGAGCAACGCCGCGUGAGGGAAGAAGGUUUUCGGAUCGUAAAACUCUGUUGGUAGAGAAGAACGUUGGUGAGAGUGGAAAGCUCAUCAAGUGACGGUAACUACCCAGAAAGGGACGGCUAACUACGUG
rnacentral:rRNA from 1 species